AUUCUGGCUCAGGAUGAACGCUAGCUACAGGCUUAACACAUGCAAGUCGAGGGGCAGCAUUGGGAUAGCUUGCUAUUCAGAUGGCGACCGGCGCACGGGUGAGUAACGCGUAUCCAACCUUCCUGCCAGUAGGGAACAGCCCGGCGAAAGUCGGAUUAAUGCCCUAUGUUCUCAGUGCGGACAUCUAAGUUGAAGGAAAGAUUCAUCGCUGGCAGAUGGGGAUGCGUCCGAUUAGCUUGCCGGCGGGGUAACGGCCCACCGGGGCGACGAUCGGUAGGGGUUCUGAGAGGAAGGUCCCCCACACUGGUACUGAGACACGGACCAGACUCCUACGGGAGGCAGCAGUGAGGAAUAUUGGUCAAUGGGCGUAAGCCUGAACCAGCCAAGUAGCGUGCAGGAAUGACGGCCCUACGGGUUGUAAACUGCUUUUAUGCGGGGAUAAAGUGCGGCACGUGUGCCGCUUUGCAGGUACCGCAUGAAUAAGGACCGGCUAAUUCCGUGCCAGCCGCUGC
rnacentral:rRNA from 1 species